GGAGAUGUGGCUCAGUGAGUAGAGCACUUGCCUAGCUAGCAUGCUCGAGGCCCUGGGUUCCAUCCCCAGCACUGCA
rnacentral:tRNA from 1 species